AGAGUUUGAUCCUGGCUCGGGAUGAACGCUAGCUACAGGCUUAACACAUGCAAGGUCGAGGGGAACGAUAUUGGAAGCUUGCUUCCGAUAGGCGUCGACCGGCGUACGGGUGAGUAACGCGUAUCCAACCUGCCCACCACUUGGGGAUAACCUUGACGAAAGUAAGACUAAUACCCAAUGACGUCUCUAGAAGGCAUCUGAAAGAGAUUAAAGAUUUAUCGGUGAUGGAUGGGGAUGCGUCUGAUUAGCUUGUUGGCGGGGUAACGGCCCACCAAGGCGACGAUCAGUAGGGGUUCUGAGAGGAAGGCCCCCCACAUUGGAACUGAGACACGGUCCAAACUCCUACGGGAGGCAGCA
rnacentral:rRNA from 1 species